rnacentral:rRNA from 1 species
AGAAUCAACGCUGGCGGCGUGCCUAACACAUGCAAGUCGAACGAGAAAGUGGAGCAAUCCAUGAGUAAAGUGGCGCACGGGUGGGUAACACGUGACUAACCUACCCUUGAGUGGGGGAUAACCUAGAGAAAUCUGGGCUAAUACCGCAUAAUACCUUCGGGUCAAAGGAGCAAUUCGCUUAAGGAGGGGGUCGCGGCCGAUUAGUUAGUUGGCGGGGUAAUGGCCCACCAAGACUGUGAUCGGUA